rnacentral:rRNA from 2 species
GGGGAAUAUUGCACAAUGGAGGAAACUCUGAUGCAGCGACGCCGCGUGAGUGAAGAAGGUCUUCGGAUCGUAAAACUCUGUCCUUGGUGACGAAAAAAUGACGGUAGCCAAGGAGGAAGCCCCGGCUAACUACGUGCCAGCAGCCGCGGUAAUACGUAGGGGACAAGCGUUGUCCGGAUUUACUGGGCGUAAAGGGCACGCAGGCGGUUUUUUAAGUCAGAUGUGAAAGGUACCGGCUCAACCGGUGACAUGCAUUUGAAACUGGGAAACUUGAGUGCAGGAGAGGAAAGUGGAAUUCCUAGUGUAGCGGUGAAAUGCGUAGAUAUUAGGAGGAACACCAGUAGCGAAGGCGGCUUUCUGGACUGUAACUGACACUGAGGCACGAAAGCGUGGGGAGCAAACA